CACAGUGACCAGGUUAGUAUAUUUAUAUCAAUUAGUCAUUUUGAUUUAACUAUAAUAGUUAUCAUUUCCAUUUCUAUUUUGAUGUUUCUAACUGGAAAAUUUGGGCGUAGAAGAAAAAUAAAAAUAAAGUAAAUUCAAUGUCUUUCUUUAGUUUCUCAUUUGUUUCCAUUGUUUUAAGAACUUGCUACUAUUCAUUCCCAGUAGGGUCAGAAGUUGUAUCAGCAAAUUCUUCCCCCUUUGGUUUGGAGUUGACCUACUUUUUGAUGACAAUAAUCGAUGAGCAGCCAUCAAUGAAGCCGUUAUAUGAACUAUGAAUAUGCAGAACAAAUUUUGAUAGUGAUUAGUUAAUUUAAAGGGGG
rnacentral:misc_RNA from 1 species